GGGCCAGAGGCAGUUCCCUACCAGCAGCCCAAGAGGAAGGAGCUCUGUUGUGGAAGAGAGGGGAAGCCUGACUGUAGGAGCAGCGUUUGGCCCUGCUGAGGGAUGGAGUAAUCCCCGGGGUGAAUUAAGAAUAGAACUGAAGUCCUAAGAAUAGAACUGAAGUCCUAAUUUUGGAAGUUCCUUAUUUCUGUAUGCGUACAUGCACAUGUGAACUUGACAUGGAAGAUCUUGGGAAAACCCAUCUGAGCUCUGAUCAUCAAAUAACCUUCUGAAAACCCCAUCCCCAAGAAACAAUAAUGCCCCAACUUUUGGUAUUCAGUGUGGAUGCAUCAAUAUCAACAAUUUCAGCAUUUUCCUUUGUCUUUCACAUUUUGAACUGACAGGAGACUUUGGAAACAAACAAUUGAAAAAGACAUUCCCUAAAGCUGGUCUACACCAACCAUUCCCCAUGGGCAUACUUCUUGCUGGGUCCCAGCUUGGAGCUUCUGCAGUGACGAUCCAUACUGUCCCUCCCCCUGCUCAUGUUUACUUAUGUUUUGGGGAGAGUGGGGUCAAUCUUUGCUCAUGGUUCAUCCAGGCUUGUGAGGGUACAGAAUGAGAUGGCUUCUUCUUCAGGGAUUCUCCCCUCCAGCAGUCCUUUGUAAGGUUUCCCACACUGUGGGUGCUAAACACCAAGUUCUCCACAGUGUCCUGCUUUUAAAUUGCCUGCUUCCUUCUUCAGGCUAAUCAGGGCCAGUUCCCUGGAGCAUAUGUCCUCAUGCCCCCUGGCCUGCUGGCAGCUCUGCUUUCCCUCUGGACCUUCAAUCCCUGUGCACCAGGGAUGCACCAUUCAUCCAGACCCAGACUGGUGAGUUCCUGGCUGGCAUGUCUGGUCCCAUGGGAGUAUAGCAGGGGAUUAAAUAAAAAGACUCCAUUAUAACUGCCAAAUAUCUUUAGGAUACUAGAUCUUGAGAUUGAAUAUUACUGUAAUAGGUGGUAGAGGGUUCAGGAGGCCUGGGCCCCACAUGGGAAGAAAUAUGAAUGAGUUAAUUGAAGUGAUUCUUGAUUUAAUGAGCAUAUUUAUAUAGUGGCCAAACCAGUGUAGAAGAAAAUUUAGAUGCUAUGAGUUAUGGACUGGAGAGAAGCUGGGAUAUUCUUCGUUCACCAUCAUCAGGGAAUAAUGACCAUCACUCCAUCGCCCCAGGGGCAAGGUGUUGGGAAGGUGGAGCCCUGUGGAAGAUUGACAACCAGGUCAAACUACCUGCAUGUCAAGAACAUCCAUCCUUUUGAACAUCAAGUUUCCAUUAAGGCAUGGCAGGAAAGUGGGAGAGAUGGAAGUCAGUAUGUCCCAACGUGAUUACAGGGAGGAAAGACACGACCUGCUCACACCCCCAGUUACCUAAAAUGUCAUUUGUCUGAAAGCAUUUUGCCCACUACAGCACACCAUUGCAUACAUUGCAGAAUUGAUUAUUUGGAUUGAGUUGAUACACAAAAUAAUAAACAAUUAUAAACAAACAGUAACUAAUCCUGUGAUAAAGCUGUGCAAACUCAAAACCAGCUCUCAGUGCUUAUACACAAAAAUUCUGCAAUCAUUUCACAAAUCCCCACAACACCUAUUUACUUUAAAACAUCCCUUCCCUAUGUUGCUUCAUGAGCAGAAGAAAGCACCUGUCAUUGAUUCCCACUAUACUCUUUUCAGGCCUGUUGGGCCUAUCAAGUGUGAACAUCUGGGACUCGUCAUAUUUUUUGCUGACCACUGAAUCAGCAUAAAAGAAGGACAUGAUGAGCCCCAGCUGUUAAACCUCCUGCUACUUCAAAUUGAUUAGAGAAAUUAACCCACAGGAUGUUUUACUUUAACAUCAGGAGCUACAUUAAAGAUGUAUGUGCAGCUUCUCCAUGAGGAAAAUGGAGAGAAGUUGUUAAAGAUAAGUUGUUUUUUUUGUGGGGAUUGAGUCAUACCUCAAAUUCCCUACCCCUGGAGAAGAAUCCUCACCUGCCAUGCUGAAGGUUCUUACAGAGAUUUCUUUGAGUUACAGCUCACUUCUGAUAGAUAUGGUAAAAGUGAGUAUGGGGUGGCCAAACCUGAACUAGGAUCACCAAUUAGGAAAAUUUACAAGCAUAACGCUGACAAUUAUGAAUCGGUAUACCUUUGUCAAACCAGUAUGACAUACUGACAUAGGUAAAUAAAAAAAGAAGAUCUGAAACUUUUGUAAAGUUUGAAAAUGUUGACUUAAAAAAGGAACGAUUUAUUAUGUUUUUCCAGAUGAAACAGGAAGAAGUGGUGAAAUAUUGUGAUAAAAUCUAUUAACAUAUUUCUUCUGUGAUAAAUCAGGCUGUUUUUGUGGGAUUUCCAACUAUAUGCUGUAGACUUAAGACAUAAUGGACGUGUCUACAUGUCAUCCUACAGCGAUGCAGCGAUGUGCUACAUCGCCAUAUGGUACACUAUGGCAACAUAGUGAUCAUGUGUGUCUACAUGUGAUCACCAGCUAUGUCACUAUAGCAGCAUGUUCCCUGGGUAUAGUGCACCGCUACAGCGAUGUAGCAGUGAAAUAUAACCAGUGUGCAUGGUGCAGUAACCACCUGUACUGUGCCAUGCUUUAGUACUUCCAAAAGAAAGUACUAAAGCAUGGUACUGUAGCAACAUUGCCAUACGGCGAUGUGUAGACAUGCCCAAUCAGAUGAGUAUUUGCAUUUCUGUGUGAUAGUCUGAACUGAAUCUCCACUCCUUCAGAGGGCAAGACCAUAUUGUUCCACUUGUAUGGGCCAUGCAGUGGAGGGAGAGCAAAGAAGUUUGUACCAGGGUUAUGCAGAAUAGUGGUUCCUACCCUCAGCAGAGCUGCUGUCAAAUGCUGGAAACAAAAGUCCCCCCAUAGUUAACUAUUUAGUUGGAGCUGGUUGGCAAUAUGGGGAAGGUAGGGAAAUGGGUUGCACACAUCAGUGUGGUUAAUGGGAAAGCACUGGUGCUAUAGCAUUGUCCUUUAUUAUAAUACUAAUACCACAAGUCAGUUCAGGCAUAUUUUUCAAAAUAGUUAUAUACAUGCAUGUAUAUAUGCAGCUGUGCUUGCACAUAUAUAGAUGGGACUUGAUGCGCAUUUAUGCCAAGGAAUUUUACAAAAGUAUGGGAAAGCAAAGGGCCUUAAAAUUGGGAACAAGUCACAUUUAUAUUUUCAGGCUAUGUAAUGUAAUUUGUAACUCAGAUUUGUGUAAGGGGUAUUACUCUGUAAGUGAGAUUCAGUUCUGUUAUUUGGGAGGGGGGGAGGAGGAGGAGGGAGAAGAGCGGCACUCACAAGAUUUUCCAUGCUAGCAAAAUCCUACAUUAUAUUAACUCAUACACUUGAAAUUAUAAAAACAAAAGUCAUAAAUAAGUCUGAGGUAAUUGUGUCCUGUGUGAUCCUGAGUCUGGAAUGUUUCUCAGACUUUGCAGUGUUCAUUCUGAGUUUCAUUCAAUUUUCACCAUGCAUUUCUUGCUAACAUUUUACUUUCAGAGCUAUGGCUUCUAUCCCAGCAAUUAAUUUUUUAAAAGUAGUGUUUACCACCAGGUUAUUUUCCACCUUGAUGGACAAUUGUUCACAGCACUUCUUCUCUUGUUAAUCCAAAGUGCAGAAACAGAGCUUCUGGCUGAGCUGAGGGCAUAUUUAAUGUUUUUUAAAUUGUAACCUGAUUAUGGCUUAUGGAAAAGAAAUUACUAUAAGGUUUCUUUUUUUUCACCAGAUGUUUUCUAAAUAAUAUACACAGAAGAGAAAAGCAUUGCAUUUAUUGUAGCUUUUGUAACCUCAUGAAAUAAAAA